CCCUCUUCGCUUUUCUGUUUCAGGGGUAUGGCUUCACGCGAGAGCAGAGUUCAAAUGCCUUAAUUAUACACGGGACGGUGCCGAAAGCGCGCGAGGUGCUGUCCAGGUUAAAGCCGCAAAUUUCGCCCCGAGUGCCGGCGGCUUCAGGAACCGCGGUGAAGACCGAACCCCUCGGGAAGGUCCGCAGUGCCUCCAACGUCC